rnacentral:tRNA from 1 species
GGUCCUCCUGGCUGAACGGCAGCGCGUCGCCGGCGGCGACGCGGAAUUGCAGCUCGACCAGAUCGAGGCCGGUGAUCGCCUC